rnacentral:rRNA from 1 species
ACUCAAAGGAAUUGACGGGGGCUCACACCAGCGGUGGAGCAUGUGGCUUAAUUCGAGGCUACGCGAAGAACCUUAUCCUAGGCUUGACAUGCACGGAUUAGGAGGCUGAAAGGUCUCUGACGCCGCAAGGUGGAACGUGCACAGGUGCUGCAUGGCUGUCGUCAGCUCGUGUCGUGAGAUGUCGGGUUAAGUCCCUUAACGAGCGAAACCCUUGUCCCUAGUUACCAGCGGGUCAUGCCGGGCACUCUAGGGAGACUGCCGGUGUCAAACCGGAGGAAGGCGGGGAUGACGUCAAGUCCUCAUGGCCCUUAUGCCUAGGGCUGCACACGUGCUACAAUGGGACGGACAAAGGGACGCGAGGCCGCAAGGCCGGGCAAAUCCCAAAAACCGUCCCCCAGUUCAGAUUGCGGGCUGCAACUCGCCCGCAUGAAGCCGGAAUCGCUAGUAAUCGCGGGUCAGCCAUACCGCGGUGAAUGUGUUCCUGAGCCUUGCACACACCGCCCGU